AUGAUGGAAAAAAAGUCUACUGUCUAACGGAAUUAAUUGUCUCAAAUGUCGAUAGAAUGUUGUUAUUGACUGCAGACUGCAUCUAUAUUACACAUUGAUGUUUGUUGCUGUCAACUACAGGCUGCUAUGCUGCUGAAGCUGCUGCUUAGCUUGCUGUUGUUGGAGUGAACUUUUAAAAGGAUUAAUAUCUCCAUGUUCCAUGGAUGGACUAGUCAUGUUGACCUCCUUAAUUUUGUUUCCUCUAGAGUCUAAUUGUUGCUACUCCAUAUCAUUUAUAGGUUGCUUUUCCUUAGAACAUUCUGAAGGAUCUCUUGGGCUUAUGGCAGUUUCUUGAGGAGGUACGGAAAAGAGGUUGAGUAAGGGGAUUGCUUGUGUAGUAAAAGAGGAUAGCAAGUCACUUCCCUCUCUUUAAUUUGAGCACUUAACUAUAUCAAGAAGGGGGGACCUGGGAGGAGUUUGAUUUCUGGUGGACUGAUAUUGAACAUCAGUGCUACUUUGCAUUACACUGCAUCUUGGUAUCAAAUCCAUGUAGCUGUUGCUAAGGUGACACUGCUAGCAUGCAUAAACUUGGACCGGAGGAGAUAAGCAAUAAGAGCAGAGAAUACAUGCCUCUGUACAAACUUGGGGAGAAAUAUGAUAUUGCCAUGGCUGCUCUGUACCUUGCGUCGGAUGCUGUUUUUCAAGCAGAUGCACAAACAGUACUUUGAAGGGAUUCCGCCGCUGGUUUCUAGCUUGGAUACGGCAAAGAAAGAGGAAUUGCUGAAUCAGUUCUCCACGGUACUAGAUGAUCUUAUCUUGUUUGCUGUUGGUCACCAUGCAGAAGUCAAUAAAACAUUGGAUCGUCUGAGAACAUAUGUUGCACAUCAACUAGGUUUAAUUGAAAAUAUCUAGUCCAGGCAUUCAAUUCUUUGGGUGACUGACUUUCCAAUGUUUGAGUGGAACGACUCAGAAUAGAGACUUGAGGAUCAGGUGUCGGGGACAAUAAUUGCGAAGGGGCCUAAAGUUGGACGACUGUUUCCUAUACACUUUUACAUUCCUCGUUUUCUAUCAUUUUCUUGUACUUCUACACCUAGUGAGACUGAGAUAUUGACUCACUACAGCUGAUUGUGUGGGUGAACUACUAGGCCCGAAAUCGUGGAUUCUGCAACAAUAAUUCAAGAAGAAUAGGAAAACCUCGGAAACAAAGUGCUUCCUCAAUGGUACCUGUGGUCCGGGUGAGAGUUAAAUCUAGAUAUAUUCCGAAUUGCUUUUAAAACUAAAACAGACAUUUGUUACAGUUCAGUGAACCGAGAGGUGGACUUAAUUAACGAGUUAUUCAAUUAAAAGAUUGUCAGUUCGAUUUACUAAAGAGGAAAGAAGUAAAGAACGACGAUUGAUCCACAUGUGAACAUUGUUCAUCAGGAUCAUCUGUUGCAAAUGACUUAGCAUCUUCAGCCACAUUUUUCAAAUCUUCCAAUGUCUUUAGAUUUUGACAAUAUCCCAACAACCGAGAUGACAUUUGUCUAUAAUCUGCUUCCCGAUAGUUUCAAAUUCAGAUGGCAAUGCUUUAUUUCCAAACACCGCACUAUUAUAAAGGUUCCAACUCUCACAUGGAACCGGUCUGCAAUGAAGUACCUCUUACCAUUUAAACUUUUUGGUAUCAUCUCUGCUAGCUCUGCCU